GAUCCUGGCUCAGGACGAACGCUGGCGGCGUGCCUAAUACAUGCAAGUAGAACGCUGAAGGAGGAGCUUGCUUCUCUGGAUGAGUUGCGAACGGGUGAGUAACGCGUAGGUAACCUGCCUGGUAGCGGGGGAUAACUAUUGGAAACGAUAGCUAAUACCGCAUAACAGUAGAUAUUGCAUGAUAUCUGCUUGAAAGGUGCAAAUGCAUCACUACCAGAUGG
rnacentral:rRNA from 1 species